CUUGGAAAUGUUGGUAGUUAAAUCAAGCCAAAAAAAUGGGCAAAAAGAAUUUUUGUGAUGAUAUGGAGUUGGUGAUGAUAUAGAGUUUGGGGAGGAUCAUCUAGCAACAAUUGGUCACUGGGUCAAAUCAACCACUAAAUUUAGGGGUAGGACCAUCAGGGGUUCAAAGCUUAUUUCAUUUUUUGAUACGACUAAUAAAACAAAGACAAUUCGAGGCCUGUAGAGAUCAUUCAAGCAGAUAAUAUGAGGUACAAUAGGCUCUGUAAGACUGUAACAUCGAUUAUAUUUCGCCAAAAUCGAUUACGAUUGGGUCGAGGAUUUGGGGAAUAACCGACAACGUUCACCAAAAUCAGGUAAGGGGUUUAGGGGUUUGACGCCAGGUAUUAUAGAACAGCUGUGGGUUUUGAUUGAGGUUACCUUGAAUCGGCUGAAAGUGUUGAGGUUUUGAUUUUAGCUAUUUAUUUUUGUUAAUCUUUUGCUUGAAAAUGACAUGUAAUUGGCACCUAAGCUCUAGAAAUAUAUAUAUAUACACACACACAUAUGAUCUCACAUGUCAUCAAGGUAAUCCGGAACCUAUUAACUGACAAGAUUGAGACAUAUAUUGAAACUUCAAUGACUUGAAAGUGACAAAAAAAAGGAUUGGAUGACUUUUGUUCUCUUUAGUAGAACAAAGAGAAAGCUUGAUUACUAUUCUGUGUUGGAAUCUGUAAUUUGAUGCUUUCAUUUGUUUUUUUUUUUUUUUUUUUUUUUUUGAACGGCCGACAAAAGAAGUUUAUUCGUUAUAGCAAGAAGCUAUCACCAAUAAUACAAGCCACCAAAUUAAAACAGAUACACAACCACAGCAAGAACAAACAGAAAGAAGGGGGAGAUAAUUACAAACAUAUGUUUCAAGUGACUUCACAAAAAAACGUCGAAAGAUCUCCAGUUUUGUGAAUUAAUAGAGGCGUUCUUCGACCUGCUUUUGAUCCAAAGGAGACUCAUAGCCUUAAUUUCCUCCACCACUUUGUUAACCGAGAUCGCCCUUGAUGUUUUCAUUUGUAUGUUGAAAAGAUUUAACACAUGUUAUCGCUAUGCGAUUCUAGAAUUUGGAUUAUCAAUAUUUUAAAA